rnacentral:lncRNA from 1 species
AACUCAUGAUAUAUUGCAAAGAAGACGACUGACACCAAUGAUCGAGUUCGUGGAACCAGCCUAUUUAACACUUCUAUGCUAUUUACGAGAUGUUUACGAGAUGAGCAACAACCCGGAUGUAGGGACAUAUGAACAUGUGUGAUUAUCAAUAGCCACUUGAUAGACACUGUAACUCAUAAUAUAUUGGAAACACAACAACCAACACGAACGUAAUUGGGAUCAAGUAUUGACACUUUAGGCUUGUCACGCCUACAAAUCUUCUUGUCCAAAUUAUAGAGUACAUGCACAUCAAAGAAAAAUAGCAAAUAACACUAAUGCAUUCGUCACUUCAACUAGGCUCCACAUUUUCAGAUCGGUGACUUUUGUUAUCCAUCGAACCUGCAUGCAGAAGCAAUAGAGUAGUAAGUUUCAUGUCCAAACUAACAUAAGUUGCAGCAGUGAUACUAAGAAUGUAAAUAACAGAAUCACAUUGGAAGCUGACCUUUAUUGAGGUACUGUAUAAUCACUUGGCAGUAUAGGAGCAUCUAUAGUUUCGCCCUCUAUAUCUCUUCUCAUCCAAUUUUGUUUCUAAUGGGCAGUAUCAAAAAGCUCAAAGAAAUUGCUGACAUAAUAAGGUUCUGUUUCCACAUUAUAAAAAUUAUCUCGAGGCUUCAUAUACAAAAAAAAUUGACCAUCCUGGAUAAACAUGGUCACCCACAUAGAACACCUUGUCAACUUGUGGCAAAUACAAAAGGUACAUCCUCUGCCUUUUACCAGUGUGAAUUAGACGAGAGAAUUUACAAGUUUACAGCCAUACUUAUCUAUUCGCAUACCUUUUCCUUCGGUAACAUCAACCCGUUCACAUUUAAAUAGCACCAAAAAAUCAGAAAUAGUCUAACUCAAUUAUGUCCACAAUCCUUGCAAAGUACAUGACAUCUCCAAGAAUAGGAUUUCUAUCACGCGCAGAAGAGUAGCUUGAUGUUUUUGCUGUCACAACAACUCCACUAUUUUGUAGAUUAAUGAUGAGCCCUCCCAUAUGACUUUCUCCAUAGUUUGAACCUAUGAGUUCAAUGCACAAUUUGGAAACGGUUUGGACUAGGUUGGAUGGAGAGCAUGUAUAGUUUGGUUUGGUCAAGAUUCAAGGUGAAAGAAUCUGGGUUGGUUUCAUUUGGAUGUGUGGCGUGUAGUCCUAUAGACCACACUGGUUCUAGUCUGGAUGUCCAACCAUUCCCAGGUCUGCCCAAACUCUUGAGUAUUUUGGAAACUUCAACCAUUAGAAUCUAAAAUAGUGGAAUGCUUACACCCUGAAUAUUUCAAGCAUUCCCUAUACAAACUAAAUUCAGAGAUGAAUGUCUAUUUAGUGCAGAGAAACAUGGACAUGCCCAAUUGACCUAAACUGCACUGGAAUAAAUUCCAACAGGGCACAAAGAAUGAUCACCUAGCCACAUGCUAGUUGCUAAAACACUGUGCACAUCAAACAUACUAGCGACAACUUGGAUUGCUAGGGCAGAGGACAACACAAUGGAAAGUGCACAGAUCAAGUUACAGACGGCAAUUUGUCUUUCAUUCCUGCUUUUAUUCAUGAAAUCGCUAAUAAAAUGCUAGUGUUUAUUCUAUCAACUGUCUAUAACAUCAAUGCAACUCCCAAAAAAAUUUAGCUUAAACGACAUGAAUCACGACUACCACAUUCCAAGAAGAAAUGAUGGUCAUGUUUUAUUGGGAGCACAGGCCAACUGUGAGCUCUACAACAUUGCUCUCUGCUGGAUGUUCUGUCUUCGCAGGAGGCGAUGGUGAGGGAGCACUUUGCAAGAUCAGGAAUACCCUAGUACAUGAAGUCAGGUUAGCUUCAAAUGUCAACUCACUUGUGUUGGCAGUCAUGGGAGCUAAUGGAGGUGUCCCUUUAGGGACUGUUGGAAUUGGUCUGAAGUUUCUGAACAUCGAGGGUGUUCCAAACAACUGAAUAUAGCACGGGUGGUAUAGUACAGCUCUGAAAUCCAUCCCCUUCGUCAUCUACCAAAUCCACCUACAUCCCACAACCAUGUCUCGAGGUGCCCACGAAUAAGUUGACUGUAUGAGAGGAGAAGGGAAGGGGGGAGGGUUACCUCGGAGGCCAGUCUCGCCGUGUACGGCAAGGGAGAAGAAGGGCGGCCCGAGGAGUAGCGCGCCGGUGGCGGGCAGGCUGGAGUGGCGGCCGGAGGAGCAGGGGACGCUAGCAGGUGACUUGCAGCCCC